CUCGUAGGAACAUCCCCAUGAGGCCGCGGCCGGAAAUGGCGCCCGCUCUGCUGCAGCCCGGCGGGGGACUGUCCCUGCUGGAUGGACCGGCCACAUCCUGCUCCAUUUUGGUUUUGGCUGAGGAUCAGGUGGUUAAUCACUCAAGCUGGUCAUCUAAUUAGAAUUCUAGUGUUGGAGGUCACCCAGCUGAACUCAGUAGACUGAGAUUUUUUUCCAUUUACUGUACCAUGUCAAUUCUUAAUGAGAAAAGCGAGAUUGCAAAAUACUACUGCAUGCUUCAUCUGUGUUACCAUGGAGACAGGCAACUUGGAUAUGUAAUACCACUAAACUGGAAAUUGGCAUUUUAGAUUGUGGCACACUAUAUUCUCUUAAACUAAUUGCAAAUAAAGUUAGACUUAAAGUGUACCAUCUUUUCACAUCUAGACAGCAUGAUUUGCAGCUGGCUUAUU